GACGAACGCUGGCGGCGUGCCUAAUACCUGCAAGUCGAACGCAGUGGGGACGGGUGAGUAACACGUGGGUAACCUCCCAUCAGAGGGGAUAACACUUGGAAACAGGUGCUAAACCGAUACUGAUGGAUGGACCCGCGGUGCAUUAGCUAGUUGGUGAGGUAACGGCUCACCAAGGCCAGGAUGCAUAGCCGCACUGGCAGGGAUGUGGGCAACACUGGGACAGAGACUCGGCCAAGACUCCGACGGGAGGCUGCAGUAGCUAAUGUUUGGUAAUGGACGAAAGUCUGACCGACCACCGCCGCGUGAAUGAAGAAGGUUUUCGGAUCGUAAAACUCUGGUGUUAGAGAAGCGGUAUCUAACCAGAAAGCCACGGCUAACUCCGUGCUCGCCGCCGCGGUAAUAC
rnacentral:rRNA from 1 species